GGUUGCAAUUGACAAGCAAUCAGCCAAUAGUUUUCCCUAUAUAGGCUUGAUAGAAACAACUGGUGCUGGCAUACAGUAUCAACUUCUUUGUAGACUGUUUCUGUUUAUUGUCAUUCAGCUCUUUAUGCGAAGCACAACAAAAUGGAAAAUUUUGCAACAUGGGGGGAAAACAACAACCUCAAAGAAGUUUACAAAAAGAGUUGCUGAGAAGAUGACAUGGACUGACCAAGGAACAUGACAUUCUGACAUUCGGCACAGUGGAGCUUGAUUGAUCAGGCUUAACAUGGGAACAGGUGCCUCCAUUUCGAUCUGUCAGUCGUUAUCCUCUGUAGAAAUUAAGUACUGUCGAAAUAAAGUUGGACCACAACCUCAGAGAACUUUUGGCAUCCCUCUUGACUACUUUGCCCAAGAGGAAACUCAAUGUCCUGUUCCUUCCGUUGUCAAGUACUUGGUGGAAUAUUUAGAAGAGUUUGGUCUGAAUCACAAAGGCCUAUUUCGGAUCAGUGGCUCAGUGACCAAAAUCAAAGCGCUGAAGGAGAAGUAUGACCAAGGAGAAGAGGUGGAUCUUGUUAACGAAGGAGAUGCCAAUUCCAUUGCCAGCCUGCUUAAACUCUUCCUGAAUGAGCUCCCAGUCGCUGUUAUCCCUGACUAUCUGUGCGCCAAUAUUUUAGAUACUUUUGAAGAUAAUAAAAACGACAUGGCAGACUGCCCAGGAUGCACCCUAAGAAGGCUAUUAAGCAGCCUACCAAAAGCCCACUAUAGCCUUUUCCAUUUCCUUAUUAGAUUUCUGGUCAAAGUGGCAGCACAUAGCGAUGAGAACCACAUGACAAUGGAGAACCUUGCCAUUGUUUUUGGCCCCACCCUUUUCCGAAUUCCUUGCAGCCCCUCAGCUCAUAAAAAACAAGCAGUAUGCAAUGGCAUUCUCCUAUAUAUUCUUCAGCACCAUGAGGAGAUAUUUGUGGUCUGCCCUGACACUCAUUUCUCACUGACAGAGGCAGGUGACCCCCAGAUUCUCUCCCCUGCCCCAUUGUCCCAAGAGCUGACACAACAGACAGAGGAAAUCCAUCAUCCAUAAUGUAUGCGGCAAGCAACCUAAGUCUGGCUGGCCCCUUCCCUCCACAUGGUGUCAGUAUUGCGUUUUGGAAUCUCACUGUUCCACUUGGUGGCAACUGGCUCGAUUUUAACCUGCAGUUUUCAAGGAAAUAUAACAAGGAGUCUGCCAAGUCCAUCGAGCAAAGGGAAUAUUUUCUGAAUUCAGCUGCUUGAUCUGUUUUUUAUAAUCAUUAUUUGUGCUUCAAGUCUGACCUUCACAUCCCUCAACAUGAAAUCCAUGUCAGUAAAGUCCCUGUUAUUUGAUCUUACAUUUACAGUCCAUAGGGUGCUGCCUUUGCACAGAGCAGUGCUAGACAUUGCAAAAUAAACAAACAACCACCAAAAACCCAACAGCACUGCCCCCCCCCCCCCGCUGAGUUUUCCUCUUCCUCUCUUUUGGAUUUGGCCUGCCUCAUUCUGGAUAUUGUUGUUCUGAGUUUUCUCUGCCCCUGAUAGUCCUGUAGAUAUCGGGACAUGUGGUAAAUGGGAGCAGAUGUUAUAGAGCGGGGCAGGGGAGGAGGAACUUGGCAGGGGGCUGCUCUUUUUGGCAGUAGCAGCUCUGUAUUUUGUAACAUCUAGGUACAAACACACACUGCUUCCACUUGGCUUGGUCCCAUGAGGCUGUUUUAUGUGUGUGGAUACUGCAGCCUCCCACACAAAGCCAGUGGCACAAGUCUUUCUCAGGUGACUUCAGUCUCAGUGGUACAGAUAAGUAUCAGCUUGGGGACAGGAUACCUAGCAGUCCACCUUCCUCUUUACAAUAUACCUCUGGUUGGUCGCUCAGAUCUUCCAAGGGGGCCUUUCUGAUGAGAAAAAUGAUGGGAUGCAAUUUUAUAGCAUCUUGCAAGCAGGCCUUUUUGGUAGUGGCACCACUCUCUGGAACAUAAACCAUGUGAUGUUCAUGAGGUAGCAAUACCUUCUGAAGACCCAUCAAUUUAUGCAGGCUUUCUCUGGCCUGUAAGCUUCAUUGCACUGCUCCAUUUUACUGAUGUAUUCUUUGCUUUUAUUGAUGUGGGGUUUUUUUUGUAUUUUGGUUAACUGUUGUAAUAUAGAUCUUUUAAUGAUCUUAACUGUUUCAUGUGAGCUGUUUAGAAACGUCACUCAUUAACUGGCACAUAGAUAUUAUAAAUAAAAAUGAAUGAAAGAAUAA